UAGUGUAAAAAUUGAAUCAAUUAAAAGAAGAGAAAUGUAAUGAUGGCUUGUAGAGAGUAUCUCAUAGUUUCUCACUUGAGAAACUUUCUACACUCUCUCUUCUCUUUUUAUUAUUUCUGUUAUUUUAAUAGUGAAAAACUCUCUUGAGAGAUUACCAAUGUAGAUGGUCUAACAAUACAUAGUCUUUGCAAGCCCCAGCGCAAUUGCAAUCAAAUUCACCAUUAUGAUUGUUCAUGGAUGAACCAUCAAAAAGCUUCAUAUCACAACAUCCAAAAAAUCAUCCAUAAAAUA
rnacentral:sRNA from 1 species